ensembl:lncRNA
GGAAAUGGCAACCCACUCCAGAGUUCUUGUCUGGAAUCCCAGGGAUGGCAGAGCCUGAUGGGUUGCCGUUUAUGGGGUAGCACAGAGCGGACACGACUGAAGUGACUUGGCAGCAGCAGCAGCAAGCACGCUCUGCUUUCUUCUGCAGUUAACAACAGAAAGGGAUUGCGGGCCUCGGCCAGAUCAAGGACAGAAUAAUAGAAGCCUGGUUGAAACUCUGUUGCCCACGACUCUUACUGCUCAGUGCUGACGGUGAUGGUGAUGAUCUCUUCUGAGUUCUUGCCGGAUCCAAGGAAGCUUCAACAGAGCUGGACAAGUUCACACGUCCUAGGAAGACUCUGGGUGGACUUCACUGAAUUCCUGAAAUUGGAAGUAGAAUGCAUGUAUGUAGUCACUCAGUUCUCUGCAAGAAAGAGUACAGCUUUAAUGAAGUUCUCAAAAAGGCCAUGAAGCAUGUGGGAUCUUAGUUCCCCAACCAGGGAUCGAACCUGUGUCCCCUGCAUUGAGAGUGCAGAGUCUUAACCACUGGACCACCAGGGAAGUCCUCAAACUGUUUCUUGAGAACAGCAAGAGGGGAGAGAUGUGAGAAACGUUCUUG